rnacentral:rasiRNA from 1 species
UUCGAACUGGUCGAUGGCAAAACC